GGCAAAUUAUCCUCAUAAGUUUGACGAUAAGAGGUGCCUUUUGUUAAUUAAUAAUGAAAGGUGGCACAGAAUCGGAGGCCCCGACUGUUUACUAAAAACACAACACAGUGCAAUCAUAAUAAUGGUAGUAUACUGUGUGAAAUUUGCCCGAUGCCAUUAAUAUAAGAAAAGUUAUGGUUUUGUUUAAUUACAGAACUGUGACCUAUCGAAAAUCUGGUUAAUAGCGGUCUUAACUAUGAGGAUCCUAAGGUAGCAAAAUCAGUUGGCCAUUAAAUGUGGUCCGGUAUCAAUAAUGUAACGAUGGUCUCACUGUCUCUACAACUUGCUCAGUGAAAUUGAAUUACGCGUGCAGAUGCGCGUUGCCUCCAGGGGGACGGGAAGACCCUAUGCAGCUU
rnacentral:rRNA from 1 species